CCCGCCCCAAAUGUGGGCCAUCAUCCUAUAGGCUGUCAUCCUGGGUAAACCCAGCAUUUGUUUCUCUCUAUUUCCUGACUUCAGAUACAUUGUGUCUGUCUGCCUCCUCGUCUUGCUGUGGUGCCUUCCCUGAGAGGAUAUCUCCUUCAGACUGAUGACAGCUUCCUGUUCCUCCCGUGGAGGUACUCAGACUCAAUCUACUCUGGGCGAGGUGGAGGGUACAGGAGAAAAUGCCACUUCAUUGAGUCCAGGAAUAUCAGGAGGACGUGCUGGGAAGGCUCUGCAGGUGGCAGUGAGGUGUCCCUGGCUCCAGGUGGUACACUUUGGUGUCUCACACAUACUGUGAGAUUUAUCAGAAGCAAGUCUGAGUACCAAGGAGGCCAUGACACUGAUGAGUACCACCUUGUGACUGUCACCCCUCUCAGAGCCCCAGCUUCUUCAUCUCCAAUUCGAGGGAGAUCCAGGGAGGGUUGGGUCCUUCUGAUACAUUUCAGAAGCAGCCUGUGAAAGUCUUAAAGAAGUAGAGGAAUCUGAUGGCUCAGCUACCAUGAUCUGGAUUCAAAGACAUGAAGACCAUCAGGGCAGAGCUGAACUACUUCCGAUAUCCUGUCCUAUAGCCACACCCAGGAGUGAGGGGAGAGAGCUAGAGCCAAUGAGCUUGUGGUCAUUCUUCAAAGGACUCUUCUGCUGGGGACCUGGCUGCAGAUGACCCUGCCUCAGCCACCAGGCCUACAUCUCCUGGAACAUAGGAUGCUGCAUUUGGAAAAGCCUAACUGGUAUCAUAGCCUUGAACCUGAGAGUCAUCCUACCCGACCUUACUUGAUUCCUGACCUCCAGGCUCACCUCUGAUAGAUAAGACUUGAAAGCCCAGAGUGGGGAGAGGACUCAUCCAGUGUCACACAACACAAGGAAAGGGCAGGAAAGACAAGCCAGAACCCCAGUCUCUUCGAGGCAGUUCCAGAGCUCUCUAGAGACACAUAUCCCCAGUUUCUUCCAGACCACUGCUUCCCAACCUUCCUGAUGCCAUGACCCUUUAAUACAGUUCCUCAUGUUGUGGUGGGCCCCAACCAUAAAAUUAUUUCCAUUGCUA